AGAUGUUCUAUGUGUGUAUAUGAGACCAAGGCUAUUGAUCCUAUUUAAAACAUCUGUGUUGAUACAUAUGUUUUGUUCAUCUGCUUGUUCUAUCAAUUACUGAGAUGUGUUGAAAUUUCCACUAUAGUUAUACUUUUCUUAGAAGAUAUGUCAAUUUCUACUUUGUAUAAUUUGAAGUCAUAUUAUCAGGCUACAAAUUUGUAAUUGCUAUGAUUUCCUUGUGAGUUGAAACUUUUAUCAUUACAAACUGUGGUAGAGUUUGUCUGCCAAAACCAUUUCCUCUGCCUCCUAGGAACACUGCUGGAUUCUGCUGCCAGCCUUCCUCGCAGUUCAGCUUGGUGAUAUGAACUGAGCUCCCUACCUCAAGGCCUGGCCAGACCACCUGCAUGAUGCUCCACACUCUCCCCCAAAUGCAGAGGACCCUGCAAAGUAUGCCAGGUCCUAGAGACAGUGGAGCCACAGGGCAAAGAAACCUGAGUCCCGGAAUGGUCUUAUGGAAAGGAAGCUGACAGCCUGGGCCGCCUGCGCUGACUCUGCUAUGCAGGGCUCUGUUAGAACAGAGUUGCUCUCCCAUGACACAAAAUACCCCUGGUCUAUAAGCUGAUCUGCCCUGAAGUAUGAUUUGCUUGACAAUGCUCAACCUUGCCUUGGUUAGAGACUGCACGUUUAUUUUUCUUCACUAUUUUACUGUCAACAUUUCUGAAACUUUAUGGUCUGGAUGGACCUCUUGUACAGAGCAUAUCACUAGAAUUGUGCAAACUACAAUUUGACAUCUUUUUUUUUUUUUUUAAAUCCAGAGUUUAUUUUCAUUUUAUUUAUUGUGGACACUUAAGGGGUGCAGUACAAUGAUUUGCUAUUCCUUUUUUAGAGAGAGAGAGAGAGAGAGAGAGAGAGAGAGGAGAAUUUUAAUAUUUAUUUUUUAGUUUUUUUGGCGGACACAACAUUGUUGUUUGUGGUGCUGAGGAUCGAACCCGGGCCCCACGCAUGCCAGGCGAGCGCGUUACCACUUGAGCCACAUCCCCAGCCCACAAUUUGACAUCUUUGUCUUUUAAUUGGAACACUUAUCCAUUUACAUUGGAAGUAAUCAUUCACAUAUAGACUUAACACUUCCAUAGUGCCAAGGUCUUUCUAUUUGUCUUCUUUUGGAUUAUUUACCAUCCCAGUUCCUGCUUUUCAGUUACCCAGACGUUAUAUAGUUUGCUUCUAAUCUUUUAGUUAUUUAGAAAUUAAAAUGUGCAGCCAU
rnacentral:lncRNA from 1 species